rnacentral:rRNA from 1 species
AGUCGAGCGGAGAUGAGGUGCUUGCACCUUAUCUUAGCGGCGGACGGGUGAGUAAUGCUUAGGAAUCUGCCUAUUAGUGGGGGACAACAUUCCGAAAGGAAUGCUAAUACCGCAUACGUCCUACGGGAGAAAGCAGGGGAUCUUCGGACCUUGCGCUAAUAGACGAGCCUAAGUCGGAUUAGCUAGUUGGUGGGGUAAAGGCCUACCAAGGCGACGAUCUGUAGCGGGUCUGAGAGGAUGAUCCGCCACACUGGGACUGAGACACGGCCCAGACUCCUACGGGAGGCAGCAGUGGGGAAUAUUGGACAAUGGGGGGAACCCUGAUCCAGCCAUGCCGCGUGUGUGAAGAAGGCCUUAUGGUUGUAAAGCACUUUAAGCGAGGAGGAGGCUACUGAGACUAAUACUCUUGGAUAGUGGACGUUACUCGCAGAAUAAGCACCGGCUAACUCUGUGCCAGCAGCCGCGGUAAUACAGAGGGUGCGAGCGUUAAUCGGAUUUACUGGGCGUAAAGCGUGCGUAGGCGGCUUUUUAAGUCGGAUGUGAAAUCCCCGAGCUUAACUUGGGAAUUGCAUUCGAUACUGGGAAGCUAGAGUAUGGGAGAGGAUGGUAGAAUUCCAGGUGUAGCGGUGAAAUGCGUAGAGAUCUGGAGGAAUACCGAUGGCGAAGGCAGCCAUCUGGCCUAAUACUGACGCUGAG